rnacentral:tRNA from 1 species
UCCUCGUUAUUAUAGUGGUUAGUGUAGCCGCCUAUCACGCGGCAGACCGUGGUUCGAUUCCCCGUCGGGGAG